UACAGGGGGUGCAAACGUUGCUCGGAAUCAUUGGGCGUAAAGCGCACGUAGGCGGUCUGUUAUGUCGGAUGUGAAAGCCCUUGGCUUAACUGAGGAAGUGCAUCCGAAACUGGCAGGCUAGAGUACUAAAGAGGGUCGCGGAAUUCCCGGUGUAGAGGUGAAAUUCGUAGAUAUCGGGAGGAACACCGGUGGCGAAGGCGGUCUUCUGGACGGUGACUGACGCUGAGGCGCGAAAGCGUGGGGAGCAAACGGG
rnacentral:rRNA from 1 species